UACGAGGGGGGCAAGCGUUGUUCGGAAUUAUUGGGCGUAAAGGGUGCGUAGGCGGUCUGAUAAGUCAUCUGUGAAAUCUAUGGGCUCAACCCAUAGUCUGCAGGCGAAACUGUCGGGCUUGAGUAUGGGAGAGGUGAGUGGAAUUUCCGGUGUAGCGGUGAAAUGCGUAGAUAUCGGAAGGAACACCUGUGGCGAAAGCGGCUCACUGGACCAUUACUGACGCUGAGGCACGAAAGCGUGGGUAGCAAACAGG
rnacentral:rRNA from 1 species